GAUGAACGCUGGCGGCGUGCUUAACACAUGCAAGUCGAACGGAAAGGCUCCUGCUUGCUGGGGUACUCGAGUGGCGAACGGGUGAGUAACACGUGGGUGAUCUGCCCUGCACUUCGGGAUAAGCCUGGGAAACUGGGUCUAAUACCGGAUAGGACGAUGGUUUGGAUGCCAUUGUGGGAAGUUUUUCGGUGUGGGAUGAGCUCGCGGCCUCUCAGCUUGUUGGUGGGGUAAUGGCCUACCAAGGCGUCGACGGGUAGCCGGCCUGAGAGGGUGUACGGCCACAUUGGGACUGAGAUACGGCCCAGACUCCUACGGGAGGCAGCAGUGGGGAAUAUUGCACAAUGGGCGCAAGCCUGAUGCAGCGACGCCGCGUGGGGGAUGACGGCCUUCGGGUUGUAAACUGCUUUCGCUAGGGACGAAGCGCAAGUGACGGUACCUGGAGAAGAAGCACCGGCUAACUACGUG
rnacentral:rRNA from 1 species